CAGAGGGUGCGAGCGUUAAUCGGAAUUACUGGGCGUAAAGCGUGCGUAGACGGUUAUUUAAGUCGGGUGUGAAAGCCCCGGGCUCAACCUGGGAAUUGCAUUCGAGACUGAAUAGCUAGGGUACGGUAGAGGGAAGUGGAAUUUCCGGUGUAGCGGUGUAAUGCGUAGAUAUCGGAAGGAACAUCAGUGGCGAAAGCGACUUCCUGGACCAGUACCGACGUUCAGGCACGAAAGCGUGGGGAGCAAACAGGAUUAGAUACCCUGGUAGUCCACGCCAUAAACGAUGAAGACUAGACGUUGGAGGGGUAAGCCUUUCAGUGUCGUAGCUAACGCGCUAAGUCCUCCGCCUGGGGAGUACGGCCGCAAGGUUG
rnacentral:rRNA from 1 species